GUUCUCACUUUGGCACACAUACACUGAAAUUGGAACGACAGAGAUUAGCACGGUCCUCGCGCAAGGACAACACAACAAUUCGUGAAGCGUUCCAUAUUGAA
ensembl:snRNA U6 U6 spliceosomal RNA